AUGAGAAGAACUGGGCUGCCGUCUCAGAGGUGGUGGGCGAUACGGAGCACAAGUGUCCCCGAGGAUCAGAGGAGCCACAACUCUAUAUGCAGAAGGAUUUUUAAGUUCCAUAAUUCUAUCCUGUCCAAUUUCCUAAAAACCUUCAGGCCUAUGCUAAGAGAAGAAGAAGAAAGAAGGGAAAUCAAAAUGGCAAAUAUAGAAGGUAAGCUUAGCAGUAAUAUUUAAGACAUAAAGGAGACAGAACUAAGAGGGAUUCUGUGAGAUGACUAACCAUGGUCAUUCUUGGUAGCCACUUUUCACUAUGUUUUUUUCUUUUUCCUUUUUCUCUUCCUCCUCCUAUGUUCCAGAAAGGAUGCUUGGCACUUUCAUAUAUUACCUCAUUGAAUCCUACCAUGAGAUAGAACACAUGUAUUUUUCUCAGAUUAACAAAUUGAGGCUUGGAUAGAUUAAGUAGUUUUUCUUGUCUAGUACGUAAAGCAGAGGUAGGAUUCAGGCCUGCUGAACACAGAUGCCCAUGUUCUUUCCACUGCACUAAGGUCUAAGCAAGGAAUCAGAAAGUCUUAGUGUCUGAAAAUACACAGGGUUUGGUAGACCGUCUCUACUUCCAUAGAAGCUACCUCUUUCUUUUUUUCUUCCUCCCUUCCUUCCUUUCUCUUUCUUUCUUUCUUCUUUCUUUCUUUCUUUCUUUCUUCUUUCUUUCUUUCUUUCUUUCUUUCUUUCUUCCUUUUCUUUCUUUCUUUUUCUACCUAUAGCACUUUGUAAUGAUUCUGCCUUCAGACCAAGAGUGUGUUGGAAU
rnacentral:lncRNA from 1 species